rnacentral:rRNA from 1 species
CCUACGGGGCGCAGCAGUGAGGAAUAUUGGUCAAUGGGCGCGAGCCUGAACCAGCCAAGUAGCGUGAAGGAUGACUGCCCUACGGGUUGUAAACUUCUUUUAUAAAGGAAUAAAGUCAGGCACGUGUGCCUUUUUGUAUGUACUUUAUGAAUAAGGAUCGGCUAACUCCGUGCCAGCAGCCGCGGUAAUACGGAGGAUCCGAGCGUUAUCCGGAUUUAUUGGGUUUAAAGGGUGCGUAGAUGGGUUGUUAAGUUAGUGGUGAAAGUUUGCGGCUCAACCGUAAAAUUGCAUUUGAUACUGGCCGUCUUGAGGACAGUUGAGGUAGGCGGAAUUCGUGGUGUAGCGGUGAAAUGCUUAGAUAUCACGAAGAACUCCGAUUGCGAAGGCAGCUUACUAAACUGCCACUGACAUUGAUGCUCGAAAGUGUGGGUAGCAAACAGGAUUAGAUACCCCUGUAGUC